rnacentral:lncRNA from 1 species
AGUCAAAUGAAUUAAAAGAGUAGAUAACAAAAUCAAGAUUUUUUAUCAAAGUUGGAUAUAUAGUUGGAUCAAAAUAGGUCAUAUAUAGUUCAGAUAAAUUUCAUACAUUUUUAUCUUUUAUUUAUAAUUAUACUUGUAGCCAGCCCACAUAUGUACUCGUAUUUUCAAUGUAAAAGCACGAUUCGAACUGGAGACUCAUUCCCAUGAAUUUUGCAGGUGGCGACUAAUUACGCACUUUGGCAUAACAAUUAUCCAAGUAGAGCUAGAAUACUUUUAGAAGCACCAACUCAUUGGUGCUUCUAAGUUUCUAGCCCUUGGAUCUACUCCCCAAUUACUAAUACCCCUUGGAUCAAACACUAUUCCACCUACCACCAUCAUCUCAACCCUACAUCUCUCCAUCCAAGGGCUAAAAACUCAAAAACAUCAACCCAUUAGUGCUUUUGAGAGUAUUCUAGCUCUACUCACAAUUAUCCUGUUGUCUUACAAAUGGCCUUGUCCAAAACAUUAU